rnacentral:piRNA from 1 species
UGGGUACAGACUACGUGUUCCACAAUGAC